UAUUCUUUAAUUUAUAUUUUUUGAUCGCUAAGUUGUUCGUUUGCAUGUCGCUGAUCCAGCGACCAAAAACAGUCGACUAAUCGCUGAAACCAGUAACUGAUCGCUAAAAAUUUCAGCGACCAAAAAUUGCGGUCGCUGGUCGUUGGCGACUGUCGCUACUUUUGGUCGCUGAACCAGCGACAAGCAAACGAACAACUUUUAGUCGCUGUCGCUGGUUUCAGUCGCCAGCGACAGGCAAACGAACAGGACCAUCGUCUAGAAAAACCUAUUUUGGGUUAAUUAAUAAUUAAUGUUCUAAAAUACAGUACAGUAUGCAUAACCGUAUUUAUGUUGUACUGUGAUAAAUCGUACUGCAUUUUCGCUAUACAAGUUUUUAUACGCUGGCAAUUGUAUAGUUGUAUAUACAACAUUGAUACGGUAAACACUAUAUUUUUAAAAUGAUUC
rnacentral:sRNA from 1 species